rnacentral:rRNA from 1 species
UACGUAGGGUGCAAGCGUUAAUCGGAAUUACUGGGCGUAAAGCGUGCGCAGGCGGCUUUGCAAGACAGAUGUGAAAGCCCCGGGCUUAACCUGGGAAUGGCAUUGGAAACUGGCGGGCUUGAGUGCGGCAGAGGGGGGUGGAAUUCCGCGUGUAGCAGUGAAAUGCGUAGAGAUGCGGAGGAACACCGAUGGCGAAGGCAGCCCCCUGGGUCGACACUGACGCUCAGGCACGAAAGCGUGGGGAGCAAACAGG